rnacentral:rRNA from 1 species
UACGUAGGGUGCAAGCGUUAAUCGGAAUUACUGGGCGUAAAGCGCGCGUAGGUGGUUCGUUAAGUUGGAUGUGAAAUCCCCGGGCUCAACCUGGGAACUGCAUUCAAAACUGUCGAGCUAGAGUAUGGUAGAGGGUGGUGGAAUUUCCUGUGUAGCGGUGAAAUGCGUAGAUAUAGGAAGGAACACCAGUGGCGAAGGCGACCACCUGGACUGAUACUGACACUGAGGUGCGAAAGCGUGGGGAGCAAACAGG